ensembl:snRNA U6 U6 spliceosomal RNA
GUGCUCACUUCAGCAGCACAUAUACUAAAAUAGGAAUGAUACAGAGAGGAUUAGCAUGGUCCCUGCAUAAAGAUGACACACAAAUUAGUGAAGCAUUCCAUAUUAAA